rnacentral:rRNA from 1 species
GACGAACGCUGGCGGCGUGCUUAACACAUGCAAGUCGAACGGAAAGGCCCUGCUUUUGUGGGGUGCUCGAGUGGCGAACGGGUGAGUAACACGUGAGUAACCUGCCCUUGACUUUGGGAUAACUUCAGGAAACUGGGGCUAAUACCGGAUAGGAGCUCCUGCUGCAUGGUGGGGGUUGGAAAGUUUCGGCGGUUGGGGAUGGACUCGCGGCUUAUCAGCUUGUUGGUGGGGUAGUGGCUUACCAAGGCUUUGACGGGUAGCCGGCCUGAGAGGGUGACCGGGCACAUUGGGACUGAGAGACGGCCCAGACUCAUACGGGAGGCAGCAGUGGGGAAUAUUGCACAAUGGGCGGAAGCCUGAUGAAGAAACGCCGCGUGCGGGAUGACGGCCUUCGGGUUGUAAACCGCUUUCGCCUGUGACGAAGCGUGAGUGACGGUAAUGGGUAAAGAAGCACCGGCUAACUACGUG